rnacentral:lncRNA from 1 species
UGAAAUGAAAUUUGGUCUAUGUGAAAUAUACUGAAUUCUAAAAUAAUUUUGAUGGAUAGAGUAAAAGUUUUAUACAUGAGAUUUCUGACUGAUUUUUUGUUCUGGACUGAGCUCCAGCAUUUGUUGCGGACUCGAAUAUACAUGUGACUCUGGUUAAGCCUGGAUUGGUAAUCUGUUGUUGUUUUAAAGGUUUAGUCUGGAC